GCCAACCCCUGAUAGGAGCUCAUGGAUGAAAAGUACUGUAGAACAAUGCCUGACACAGAUACAGAUCUCAAAGCAAGGCUUGUUGGACAAAUAAAUGAAGAUGAGCCCAAGAGCCCAGGAGAGGGACCGGGAACAGCAGGGCCUCCGUGACUCACACAAGCUUCAUCCCUGAACCAAGGACGCAGCCUGCCAACAAUGGCCCCAAGCCACACCCCGCCACAGGGGGAACUGAUGCUGCGGUGAGAAGUGACAGCUUUCUGUUGACUCUUUUUUUUUUCAAGCAGAAUAUGAAUUGAGACAUACUUUCAUUUUCAUAAUCAGAACCUAACACUUAGUAACCAAUGUUGGUGGAAGCAAAUGAGAUCACAGUUUGUCUGUUCCAAACUCAUCUCUGGGAAAAGGAGGAGGAAAAAUUAUUGGCACUAUGUUCAGAAUCAUAGCUGAAGAUGCAGAAAUUGUUCAUCCCAAUUUUGCCUUUCUGAAGAAAGCCACCACUAAGAAAACGAAAAGAGAAGCAGCAGACCAGGAGAAAAUAUUUGCAAAACCAAAUCUGAUAACGGACUUGUAUCCAGUAUUUGCAAAGAACUUCUAAACUUAAUAACAACAACGACGACAAAGGAGCAAAAUCCCUGGUGGUCUAGCAGUGAGGAUUAAAAAAGAAAAGAAGCAAAAUAUAUGAACAGCUGUUUCUCCAAAGGAGAUAUACCAAUAGCUAAUAAAAUAUGCACAGAUGCUCCACAA
rnacentral:lncRNA from 1 species